CCUACGGGAGGCUGCAGUGGGGAAUAUUGGACAAUGGGCGAAAGCCUGAUCCAGCCAUGCCGCGUGUGUGAAGAAGGCCUUCGGGUUGUAAAGCACUUUCAGUGGGGAAGAAAGCCUUGGGGCUAAUACCCUCGAGGAAGGACAUCACCCACAGAAGAAGCACCGGCUAACUCCGUGCCAGCAGCCGCGGUAAUACGGAGGGUGCGAGCGUUAAUCGGAAUUACUGGGCGUAAAGCGCGCGUAGGCGGUCUGAUAAGCCGGUUGUGAAAGCCCCGGGCUCAACCUGGGAACGGCAUCCGGAACUGUCAGGCUAGAGUGCAGGAGAGGAAGGUAGAAUUCCUGGUGUAGCGGUGAAAUGCGUAGAGAUCGGGAGGAAUACCAGUGGCGAAGGCGGCCUUCUGGACUGACACUGACGCUGAGGUGCGAAAGCGUGGGUAGCAAACAGGAUUAGAUACCCGAGUAGUC
rnacentral:rRNA from 1 species